rnacentral:rRNA from 1 species
UACAGAGGGGGCGAGCGUUGUUCGGAAUUACUGGGCGUAAAGGCGCGUAGGCGGCCAACUAAGUCAGACGUGAAAUCCCUCGGCUCAACCGGGGAACUGCGUCUGAUACUGGAUGGCUUGAAUUCGGGAGAGGGAUGCGGAAUUCCAGGUGUAGCGGUGAAAUGCGUAGAUAUCUGGAGGAACACCGGUGGCGAAGGCGGCAUCCUGGACCGAGAUUGACGCUGAUGCGCGAAAGCCAGGGGAGCAAACGGG